UCUCAGUUCGGAUCGGAGUCUGCAACCCGACUCCGUGAAGCUGGAUUCGCUAGUAAUCGCGCAUCAGCCAUGGCGCGGUGAAUGCGUUCCCGGGUCUUGUACACACCGCCCGUCACACCAUGGGAGCCGGAAACGCCCGAAGCCAGCGGCCUAACCGCAAGGAGGGAGCUGUCGAAGGCGGGGCCGGUGACCGGGGUGAAGUCGUAACAAGGUAAC
rnacentral:rRNA from 1 species